rnacentral:rRNA from 1 species
AAAUUGAAGAGUUUGAUCAUGGCUCAGAUUGAACGCUGGCGGCAGGCUUAACACAUGCAAGUCGAACGGUAGCAGGAAGGAAGCUUGCUUCUUUGCUGACGAGUGGCGGACGGGUGAGUAAUGCUUGGGAAUCUGGCUUAUGGAGGGGGAUAACGACGGGAAACUGUCGCUAAUACCGCGUAAUGUCUAAGGACUAGAGGGUGGGACUUUCGGGC